GCCCAGCGAGCCUGGCGCCGGGGGGCGGGGCCUGACGGGAGCUCUGCUCAGGCUUCAACAUGGCGGGCCGUUUCGGUUGACUUCGCCUGUGGAAACCGAAUUCCCCCUCCAUGGUUUCCCCAGGAUAUGAGUUGGGGGCCUCACCUCGCCUAUAAGGGUCAGGCGAGCUUUCUGGAUGCUCGAGGGACCUUUCGGCCUGCGCAGCCGGAGCAGCUUGUCCCAAUGCCCUGCCAUUUCUGUGAGGGCCCACGAGGCCUGGAGGAGCCUCGGAGCCCCCGCAGGCCCUCGCGUCACUGCCUCAAGAGGGUGCUCGGAGCCCUGCUCGGGAGCUGGUCCCCAACGAGGUGUGGAACCCCUUCUUGCUGGAACUCCACGGAGAGACUGUCCUGCUAGGACCUGCUUCCAGAAGAGUUGAUCCCAGCCGUGAAAGUGCAUGAUGCCUUCAGCGAAGCAGGCAGGAAAGGCUCAAGUGAUCCUCCUGUAUCACCCUGGGUAUCAAGGCCAUUCAGUGGAAAAGAACAGUCUCUUCAGCAAGUGGAUGAAGUUAGAUCUCUUCCUCACAUCAUACAGAAAAAUCAACCUCAAAUGGAAGAAAUAUCUAAAUGAAGCCGAACACUUGAUAAAAAGUUCAUCAGCGUAAAUAAGAAGAAUCCCCUCCAUUACAUACAAAAGAAAAAAUAACUGGAGAGAUCAUCUCUGCUCUAAGAACAGCGUGUUUUUAAGUCUCUGCAGUCUUGGACCAAGCUCGUUUUAUUCCCUACUCUACGAGAAUCUCAAGAGCACCAGGAUUCUGUUUGGAGUUGCCAUGGACACAGAGUUCUUAAUCCAGUACUGGCUUAUUCUCAAUACGAGAGAAAGUUGUACUGAAGACACGAGACCUGAGACUUGUGUCAUUUUAGCGGCUGAACCGACCCCAACUUCUUCUGAGCGGCAGUGGCGCCAGAAGCAGUCUGGCUUUCAGUCCCCAUCCUGUUGACCUGGUGGAAGUCAUCAUUGAUAGAGACACCGAUGACAUUCCCCACACAAGUGAACUGACAGGAGGAACCAAGGAAGCAUGUAUCUACGAAAGUCUUAGGCACAGGCUGUGAGCAUUGUCUUAGGAUUCAUGCCUCUUGGGGUGAAAUUUGAGUCCUGUGUUGGAGGCUUCAGUAUGACAGAAACUUCCUGAAGGCUUCAGUAAGACAAAAAAUUGUUCCUCAUCAGCUACCUUGUCUUCAGCCAUAAGCAGCAAGAUUAAGAAAAUUGUUCAUUCAAUUGUGUCAUCCUUUGCAGUUGGAAUAUUUGGAGUUUUCCUGAUCUUGUUGGAUGUGGCUCUGAUCUUUGCUGACCUAAUUUUCACUGAUAGCAAAGUUUAUAUUCCUUUGGAGUAUCGUUCUAUUUCUCUAGCUAUUGCUUUAUUUUUUCUCAUGGAUGUUCUUCUUCGAGUAUUUGUAGAAGUGGACACGUUUAUUUCGACUUCUACGACUUAUCAUUCUGAUAAGAGUUUUUCGUCUGGCUCAUCUAAAAAGACAACUUGGAAAGCUGAUAAGAAGGCUGGUAACAGGAAACAAAAGGUGAUACGAAAGGGAUGGAUUUGACCUAGACCUCACUUAUAUAGAACGUAUUGUCGCUAUGUCAUUUCCAUCUUCGGGAGGCCAGUCUUUCUAUCGGAAUCCAAUUGAAGUCGUACAGUUUCUAGACAAGAAACAUCCAAACCACUAUCGAGUCUACAAUCUAUGCAGAAAGAGCUUAUGAUCCUAAGCACUUCCAUAAUAGGGUCAGUAGAAUCAUGAUCGAUGAUCAUAAUGUCCCCACUCAGGGAGAUGGUAGCAUUCUCCAAGGAAGUGUUGGAGUGGAUGGCUCAAGAUUCUGAAAACAUCGUAGUGAUUCACUGUAAAGGAGGCAGGAAGAACCGGAACUAUGGUUUGUGCCUGCCUGAUUGCCAGUGAAAUAUUUUUAACUGCAGAAAGAUUGUACUAUUUUGGAGAACGGCGAACAGAUAAAACCAAUGGCACUAAAUAUCAGGGAGUAGAAACUCCUUCUCAAUAGAUAUGUUGGAUAUUUUGCACAAGUGAAACAUAGCUACAACUGGAAUCUCCCUCCAAGAAAAACACUGUUUAUAAAAAGAUUAGUUAUUUAUUCGAUUCGGCGAUGGAUAUGAUCUAAAAGUCCAAAUAGUAAUGAAGAAAAAGAUUGUCUUUUCCUGCACUUCCUUAAACAGUUGUCGUAUUUCAUGACACUGAAACAGACAGGGUAAUAAUUGAUGUGUUCAACUGUCCACCUCUGUAUGAUGAUGUGAAAGUGCAAGCUUCCUCUUGAUUUUCCUAAAUACUAUCACAACUACCCUUUUUUCUUCUGGUUUAACACAUCUUUAAUACAAAAUAACAGCUUUAUCUACAAAGAAAUGAAUUGGAUAAUCUUCAUAAACAAAAAACUGGAAAAUUUAUCAACCAGAAUAUGCAGUAGAGACAUAUUUUGAUGAGAAAUGACUUAAGUUAUGUUGUAACUGGUAGCUGAUUAAGUAUAGUUCCCUGCACCCCUUCUGGGAAAGAAUUAUGUUCUUUCUAACCCUGCCACAUAGUUAUAUGUUCUAAAUCUUCCUUGCUGGUACAUCUAUA
rnacentral:lncRNA from 1 species